rnacentral:ncRNA from 1 species
AGAGCCCUGCACGUUGCGAAGUCCCAGGUCCCACCUGGGAUACGAAUCUAUAGAAAUUUUCAUAGCAGCUGCGGGGCUUU